rnacentral:rRNA from 1 species
AUUGAACGCUGUCGGCAGGCCUAACACAUGCAAGUCGAACGAGUGGCGGACGGGUGAGUAAUGUCUGGGAAACUGCCUGAUGGAGGGGGAUAACUACUGGAAACGGUAGCUAAUACCGCAUACCAUCGGAUGUGCCCCGCUGGGCUUAGCUAGUAGGUGGGGUAAAGGCUCCCAAAGGCGACGAUCCCUAGCUGGUCUUAGCGGAUAACCAGCGACACUUGAACUAGGACACGGUCCAGAGUCCUACGGAAGGCAGCAGUGGGGAAUAUUGCACAAUGGGCGAAAUCCUGAUGCAGCCAUGCCGCGUGUAUGAAGAAGGCCGUCGGGUUGUAAAGUACUGUCAGCGGGGAGGCGUUACCCGCAGAAGAAGCACCGGCUAACUCCGUGCCAGCAGCCGCGGUAAUAC